rnacentral:rRNA from 1 species
GACGAACGCUGGCGGCGUGCUUAACACAUGCAAGUCGAGCGGAGCGGCGAACGGGUGAGUAACGCGUGAGUAACUGCCCCCCUCUCUGGGAUAACAGUUGGAAACGGCUGCUAAUACCGGAUAGUGGGGGAUGACUCGCGUCCUAUCAGCGUGUGGGUGGGGUAGUGGCCUACCAAGGCGACGACGGGUAGCCGGCCUGAGAGGGUGAUCGGCCACAGUGGGCUGAGCUACGGCCCAGACUCCGACGGGAGGAAGCAGUGGGGGAUAUUGCACAAUGGGCGAAAGUCUGAUGCAGCGACGCCGCGUGGGGGAUGAAGGCUUGCGGGUUGUAAACCUCUUUCGCUAUCGAAAGGGUAGGUGGAGAAGAAGCGCCGGCUAACUACGUGCCAGCAGCGGCGGUAAUUC